rnacentral:tRNA from 1 species
GCUCCUGUUGUCUAGCCUGGAAAUUGUUCAUUAGGCAGAUAGGAUACACCCCUGCGGAGGGUGUGGCCCGGGUUCGAAUCCCGGCAGGGGCA